AUAUCAGUUGCUUCAUCUGGAAUAGAUUAUCACAGGGAAAAGUCUGUGCAGUUUGAAAUGAGGACAGAGCAGCAUGCAUCCAUCAUGCAUAGUUUAAAAUAAUCUGCAAGACUGCUUCUGAUUUGAUCCUUAGAUGUACUUCCUCCCGAUUUUCUUCAAAACUUGUGUUAAUAAUGGGUACUCUGUCUCUAGAAAAGGCUUUUUUGUAGAGUGUACCCCCAGCCUCUGCUUUGUAGCGUGCUACAGGGAAAGUCCAAAUUCAGUCUUCAAGGAUCCCCGACCUUAAAGGGAGGAAUAAGUAGCGUGUGCCAGGAGAUUGCAGAUCCUGUGUCUGUGCGUAGACUUGAUACCUCAGAAACUGUCCUUCAUCCGAUAUGCCGCUCCUUAAACCGGAGGAAGGAUGUCCCACUGAUCGUCUCUCAGCAGGUCACGGCAUAAGCUGCUCCCUGUUUUAUCCCUCCGAUGAGGCMGUAUACCACUCGCUGCAUUCACUCUUUCCUUUGCCAGGUCACGUUUGAUUUUCUCCCCUUGAGCAGAGCUCAGAACAACCACGGUCCUGGCCAGCUCCUCACUCCCUUUACAGAGCUGGGGGCUGCUGGGCAGAGUGACACUCGCAGCCUCGGGACCUCUGUGGCCGCCUCGUCUCCACUGUGGCACCUGCGGCAGUAUCGGCCACAAAGGGAUUUUCUUUAUUGCAUUAAGCUUGCAGAGAGAAGAUUUAGUAGGUGUGUCGUAGUGCCAUUAGCCUCCUGUGACCYGGUGUCUCAGCAAAUCCUUCCGUGGCUGUGAAGAAUUUGUUUCAGUUUGUGCAAAUUCAUCUUCAUUAGAGCCAUUUUGAGGGGAACUGUUCUCUCUACCCACAGUGCCAUAUUCUGAAUUCAGGGUGGCUGGACCUAGUGCUGGUAUUUAAAUCGUUAUGCCAGCCUUGAGUAACAAUCCAUCUGGCAAUGGGAAAUUCAAAAAUACAAUUAAUUGAGUUUCCUUGUGUCGUGUGGUUGUGAAACCGUUUCUAACAAACUUUCACACAGAAACAGAAGUUUUAUGCUUGUGGUAAUAAUGUUCGUAAGAAAAGUUUUGGUGCACUUAGUGCAAAAUAACAUUUCARCUUUUGGAGAACAACCACAAUAUCUAUUAAAAAUAAAUGUUGGCAGGCACACAGGCAAAGGAAAUCUAUCAAAGUUUGUUGAUGUUUGUCUGCAGUGCAGACCAGUUAACAAGUUCUUUCCCUAUGCAAACAAGCAGCAUCUCAUCACAACACUUCAAAAUCUUUAAAUAACUAAAAGGUUCUUUUCCUUGACGUUCACUUUGCAACUCCUUGGUGCCAUGGAUGGUAGUUAAUUAUUAUCAUURUUAUGGGUGUGGCCUGAUUUAAAUAUCUGCAUAAAAUGUCUCGUCAGUGGCGCGUUGAUACUGCAUGAGCACUGAGUACCUGGAGUACAUGAGCUGCCUUCAGCUGGGGCGUGUUCAAAGUGAAGAACAGAAAACGUUUUACCAUCCUUCAGAUCCUAAAUGGGGCUCUGCUGAAAUGUCAUUGGAAAAGUUGGAAGAGUCUGGGCCUAGCUUGGGGAAAAAAGUAAAUAAAAGAGGAUUUUUAGGUGAGGUGCAAGUAGGAUUUGCCUGUGCAAGUACAAAAAUGAGACCUACUGGUUUAAAUCAGCAGGUUGUCUCUUGCCCAGUUCCAGAUGACAGUGACUAGAAGUGACUUGGUCUGGGUCUUUUGGUGUGAAAAUUCCUGUUUCAGCUGUGACUGCAGGGUAUUUUUUUGGACUGGGGGGAAUUGCUCAAUCAUAGAGUCAUAGAAUGUUGUGGGUUGGAAGCAGCCUUAAAGAUCAUCCAAUCCCCGGCCACGGGCAGGGAUGCCUUUCACUAGACCAGGUUGCUCAGGGAACCAUCCAGCUUUAACACUGCCAGGGAUGGGGCAUGCACAGAUCUCUGGGCAACCUUUUCCAGUGCCUCACCACACUGAGAGUAAAGAUUUUUUUUCCUAAUACAUCAUGAUGCCUGCGAUAUUGGAUUCUAAACAAAUACACAGGAGAGCUUUCUAAUUUCUUUGGAAAAAUGAUCAGAGGCAGCAGUAUCAAUGUCUGUGAUAGAUGGAUGCUCUGCAGUCAGACCUGCUGCCCAUUAUUGAGGUCUGAGCUCCAGCCUUUGCUUUCAGGCAUUCACAGACCUUUCAUAGACUUGACAUGCAUUAGCUAUUGGAUAAAAUGUGAACCCUAAGUGAAAGGGUGCACUGCUGAGAUAACCUUUAAUUGACAGAUAUGGGAAGGAUUUAAGACCUCUUCCCAGCAUUUUUUUUCCUUGUAGGAAAUGUAAAAAGCUUUCCAAUCUGCUUUACAAUUUCAGCAGGGGUGGAUCUURCUCUGAAGUUUUCAUUCUCCUUGUGUAUUGCUUAGGAAGAAUAAGUACAUAAUAUUUUGGCUGUGGAUGCCUGUUGAUGGAAUUUAAUGCUGUCUAACAGAGACAAUCAAARGGUCAAAUAGUUUUGUGAAUUGUUAAGUAUCUUUUCAUCUUUAGUACAGUGACUGUGGUCCCUGGGGUUGAAGAACAGUGAUUGUUAUGGUUCUUUUACCAUCUGGCACUGUGACAAGAAUACCCAAGCUUGUGUUCCUCUACAUGAUGAAAAAAAAUAGAUAAAUAAAUACGAUUUAUGAGUUUUCUUUACAAGGCUUUUCCACAGGGCAAUUGAUUUUAUUUUAGUCUGUACAAGGCAGACCCAGACAAGAAAAAAAAAAUCGUUUCUCUCUCUGUUGCUUUCCCAGAUCCGGUGUAAAUGAAAGAAGACUGAUAUGUACUUACAGAUCUUUAAAAUGCCUUUUCAGUUUUUCUUUGGCUUUCUGAAGGGAAGGUUCUGAUCCUGUGUUGUUAAUUCUGAAGAAGGCCUUUUUUGUUUUUCAGUAGUUUUGAUUGCCCUUGAGCCCUCUUAUACAGAACUCUGUGGUUAUUUAAGCACCUUCUGCAAGUGGGGUGCAAACYUUUCUUUUCAAUUGGGUUGCAGGUAAAGGUUCAGCUCAGUCAUGUUAAUGUUGGAAGUUUCUUCGGUGACUUUUCCCAUCAAUUGUGUACUUUGUGUCAAGGUCAAAAGUAUCACUGUUCUUCAAAAAUGAUCCCUUAACCUUUUGUUUAAGGAAGUAGUAGUCUCCUUUGGAAGAGGCUCAGACAAGAGAUUAAAUUGGCAGAGUCAGGAAUUCAAGAUAAAUCGAAAGGCUUUUUGUACRUGUGAAGAUGUUCCAUUUAAUAUUAAGCUGGUGUUUUCCACUUUGCAUGAUUAGGCAAAUGCAAAAUUAAGUAGCAGAGGUCAAGAUCCAGAAGCAUUUUGAAGGUUUGUUUGUUUUUAAGGUGUAUUGCUCUUUCUAGGAGAAUACGCUUCAGGUAAAUAUUAGAUCUGUCUGUAAACUGGAAAAUCAACUUCUCAUCUUACUUAAAAGGUGCCUUUGUAGUAAGGGCAAUAUAAUGUCAUUAAAAUAGUGUUUUCCAUGAAAAGAAAUGCAAUGUCAUGCUAUAUUUAACUACUUUGUAAGAGCCAAGCUGCUGUGAUGAGAAAAUUUCAAUAAAGUUUCUAAUGUU